CCCCGACGGGAGCUUUGUGUCAGCGCGCGGGAGUGGCGGGAGCGCGGGACGCCCGGCUGGCGGGGGAGCCGGGGGGCUGCCGGCCCGUGCUGCCCGGCAGGUCGGGAAACUCCCCAGAGGAGUGGAGGGCUCGUGCGGGUCCCUGCCCUAACCACCCGCUGCCGGUCCGGCCCGAAGCUGACCUUCGUUCCAGAAUGCGGAAGGCCCGGGGCGCCUCCAUCUUGGCGGAGAGAAAGAGCUCCGGGAAGGUCGAGAAAGAAGGAAAAGAGAGAGUCCUUGAGUCCUGUGUCUGUGCAGGUAAAUGACAAGACUCUCGUGUAACAGGAGAGGAAACAGGCACAGAGAAGUGACACCUCCCUGGCCCCACCUAGUCACAGCGCGUCGCAGCAGGAGGGGCCCCUGAAAGCGAGCCCAGCCCUGGACCGAGGCUCAGAAGAGACCGCUGAGGACACAGCAAGAACACAGCUGUCCACAAGCCAGGAGGAGGGUCCUCCACCAGGAACGGAAUUGCCAGCACCCUGAUCUUGGACUUCCCAGGCUCCAGAACUGUGUACCCCCUCUCAGCACCUCCAUUUUUCAUCUGUAAAAUGGGGACAACAUCAGCACCUAUCACAGUAAAGGUGGUUGUGUUGUAGAAGUGAGAGAAUUCAUGGAUGCCUAGGACACAGCCUGGGACACUACACAGCUCGCUGGAGGAGCAUUCGGGUGCAGAACAGCAAGUGCAAAUGCCCUGGAGCAGGAUGGAAUAGACUGGAACAUAGGCAUGCCUAAAGGAUCAGCCAACAAGGAAGUCCACAUAAAUGGGAUCAUACAGUACACACUCCUGUGGGAGGCUUCUUUCACACAAUGCAUUUGCAAUUCGUUUAUGUGGUUGCAUGAAUGGUGCCUUCUCAUUGUUUCUGAGUAGCUAUGCAUGGACAUUUGGGUUAUUUCGAGUCUUUUCUGCUGCAUCGAAUAGCCUUGUCCCAACGUCAUUUGAUACUUUUGCUGGUCUGUCUUUGGGAUGGAUUUCAAGGAAGAGUAUUGCUGGGUCCAAGGGUCCCACAUCUGACGUGGCCAUCCACACAGCUGACUGUUCACACGCAUCAGAUGACUUCCUCAGAGAAUCACUAGCUGUCGUAGGAUUCCUGUUUUUAAGUCUCCGCAUUGGUCGCCCCCCACCACCACCCCUGCCGGCCCCUGCGCUCCAGGAACGCGGGGCGGGAUUCGGCCAGGCCCCCGGGGAGGCCUAGGAAGAGGCACCAGGGAGGUCCGCACUCCGGUCCCAGGGCAACCAGGCGGCAUCAUGGGGACUCCUCAAGACAAGCGCUCGGCUGCUCAGAGCCCGGAACUCUACGCUGCCCGGAUACCGUUGCUGGAACAAAGGACAUCCAGGGCACCAAGAUGGAACCCUCCCCAAGAGCCUCCUCCUCCUCCAGGAACUCCAGUUCUUCCCCCACUGUACAUCCAAGGCCCCCCGGGCGCUCAGCCGGCGGUGUUCACCAGCUUGCCUAGGAUGGGGUCUGCCACCCCCGUACGGUCCGUAUGUCGGUACUGUGGGAACUACAUCAUCACAGUGACCAGCCCGGUCCCAGGGGUCAUCACCUGGCUGUUGUGUACUGGCCUCUUUGUGUUUGGGUGCGUCCUGGGAUGCUGCUUCCUCCCCUUCUGUGUGGGCAGUUUGAUGGACGUGAAGCACACGUGCCCAGUGUGCCGGCAAGAGCUCUUCCGCUACCAUCGCCUGUGAACGUCCGCAAAAUAAAUGUCCAUUAAGUGCUC